GGAGGGGUGGCCGAGAGGCUGAAGGCGACGGUUUGCUAAACCGUUUUAGGGUUAACUCCUAACGUGGGUUCGAAUCCCAUCCCCUCCGCCA
rnacentral:tRNA from 1 species